GGCUAGUCUGAAGGUACUGAGUUAUCUCACUUGAUCCCAGUCAGUUACAGAUUGAACUCCUUUGUUCUACUAUCUUCCCCCUUCUCACUAGUGCAAUUGACUAGUUACAA
rnacentral:Y_RNA from 1 species